rnacentral:rRNA from 1 species
GACGAACGCUGGCGGCGUGCUUAACACAUGCAAGUCGAGCGGUAAGGCCCUUUCGGGGGUACACGAGCGGCGAACGGGUGAGUAACACGUGGGUGACCUGCCCUCAGCUCUGGGAUAAGCCUGGGAAACCGGGUCUAAUACCGGAUAUGACUCCAUGGCGCAUGUUGUGGGGUGGAAAGCCUUGUGCGGCUGAGGAUGGGCCCGCGGCCUAUCAGCUUGUUGGUGGGGUGAUGGCCUACCAAGGCGACGACGGGUAGCCGGCCUGAGAGGGCGACCGGCCACACUGGGACUGAGACACGGCCCAGACUCCUACGGGAGGCAGCAGUGGGGAAUCUUGCGCAAUGGGCGAAAGCCUGACGCAGCGACGCCGCGUGGGGAUGACGGCCU